UGUAAUAUAUAAAGAAAAGUCUAGGGGCCAGCAAUUUUAUUGCAUUUUGGCUAGCAUGUAACCAGUAGAGAAAGGUGAGCCAUUAGAUGAAAUCUCACACCAAUCUUACACCAUCAAAUCAUCAUUGAUGACUAGUUGAUGGCUACCAAUCACAAAUGUUGCUGGCCCCCUAGCAUUGCUC